AGCAACAAAUGCCCUGCUUCCAGGAAAAGCCUCUAAGCAUCAGGUAACAUCAAAUCGUACCCCAAACCGACACAGGUGGUCAGGUAGAGAAUACCAAGGCGCUUGAGAGAACUCGGGUGAAGGAACUAGGCAAAAUGGUGCCGUAACUUCGGGAGAAGGCACGCUGACACGUAGGUGAAGUGAUUUACUCAUGGAGCUGAAGUCAGUCGAAGAUACCAGCUGGCUGCAACUGUUUAUUAAAAACACAGCACUGUGCAAACACGAAAGUGGACGUAUACGGUGUGACGCCUGCCCGGUGCCGGAAGGUUAAUUGAUGGGGUCAGCGCA
rnacentral:rRNA from 1 species